AAAAAAAAAAAAAUUUCGAAAACAAACUAAAUUCCGUUUCUUUUAAAACAAUCAAACUCAGUUUGCAAUGAAUUCUCAAUGAAUCGUCAGCCAAGAAAAUACUUUGCAAGCCACAAUACUGUAAGGAAAGGGUGUAAAUCGAAAGUUGAGCAAGCCAAAGCGAAACACAAGAAAUUAUCACAGAAGAUAGAUUUAUUAUAACCUGAAGCAAGGAAAAUAAAAGCAGUGCUUGUUAGUGUACCAAAUCAGUAGGAGAAUGGGUAAUAUGCUAACGGAAGGUAAGUUGGCAGCGCUACAGCCUUGAUCGUCUAAAGAAUACGUAAGUGACGUGGAGAGAAGUGUGGGGAAGCCAUUCUAAGAAUAGCGUGUCAUAGCGAGUCGUUAAACAGGGAAUGAGAAUGAGAGUCAAAGAGCUUGGUUUUUCAAGGUUAUUGAUAUUACAGACCGAGAUUUUUUAAUGAAACAUGUUUAGACAUUCGAAAGAUGAAGGACGGUAUUUUUUUUUCCUCCUGUAAAGAACAGUAAAGGUGGAGAUAUUGUUGACUAGCUAAUUCAUUUACACCCUGCGUACUGAAGACGACACUUUUUCAACAAGUUGUUUUUACUUAGUCGCCAUAGCUUCCAACAAAAAGUUUCAUGUUGCAUAGUAGUUGUCGAGAAAUCUCUCCUUUGUGGGAAGCGUCUAGCUUCUAUUGUUUUUACAGACGAAUGUGAAAUGAUCAACCAAAUAAGGCUCCGUAGGGAUUUUGGUACAAGUACAAGCGAUGAGUUAUACCAACGAAUAUGAUAAGGGAGGAAACGAGCGAUUGACUCGUGGCACAGGAAAUAGGGAGAAGAUUGGUAAAUGGGAUUUUAUAGAGCAUUGCGAAAUCUUCACUAAGAGUGUAAAUGGAAUGAAAAGUCGUCACCUACUACUUUCAAACUUUUCAUGUAUUCAUGUCAAACUUACAAGCUGACAUCUUGAUGACUUGUUGGAAAGAGAGAAAAUGGAAAAUUGCUACUAUGACAGAGAAUAUUAAAAACAACAAUAGGAUAACGAGACAAAAGACACUAUGCAAAAAUAUUUAAAAAAAUGU